CGUGUAGGCGGGAAGACAAGUCUGAUGUGAAAGCCCCGGGCUUAACCUGGGAAGUGCAUUGGAAACUGUUUUUCUUGAGUGCUGGAGAGGAAGGGGGAAUUCCCGGUGUAGAGGUGAAAUUCGUAGAGAUCGGGAGGAAUACCAGUGGCGAAGGCGCCCUUCUGGACGGCAACUGACGCUGAGACGCGAAAGCGUGGGGAGCAAACA
rnacentral:rRNA from 1 species